rnacentral:rRNA from 1 species
AUACCUAGGGGGGCAGCAGUGGGGAAUAUUGCGCAAUGGGCGAAAGCCUGACGCAGCGACGCCGCGUGAGGGAUGAAGGUCUUCGGAUCGUAAACCUCUGUCAGCAGGGAAGAACGGUCACUGUGCUAAUCAGCAGUGAAUUGACGGUACCUGCAAAGGAAGCACCGGCUAACUCCGUGCCAGCAGCCGCGGUAAUACGGCGGGUGCGAGCGUUAAUCGGAAUUACUGGGCGUAACGCGCUCGUAGGCGGUCUGUCAAGUCAAGGGUGAACUCCCCGCGCUCAACGUGGGACCUGCCUUUGAACC